rnacentral:rRNA from 1 species
UACGUAGGUGACCAGCGUUGUCCGGAUUUACUGGGCGUAAAGAGCGCGCAGGCGGUCGUUCAAGUCGAGUGUGAAAGCCCCCGGCUCAACUGGGGAGGGUCAUUCGAUACUGAUCGACUCGAAGGCAGGAGAGGGAAGCGGAAUUCCCGGUGUAGUGGUGAAAUGCGUAGAUAUCGGGAGGAACACCGGUGGCGAAGGCGGCUCACUGGCCCGGUACUGACGCUGAGGUGCGAAAGCGUGGGGAGCAAACAGG